GGCGGACGGGUGAGUAACACGUGGGUAACCUGCCUGUAAGACUGGGAUAACUCCGGGAAACCGGAGCUAAUACCGGAUAGUUCCUUGAACCGCAUGGUUCAAGGAUGAAAGACGGUUUCGGCUGUCACUUACAGAUGGACCCGCGGCGCAUUAGCUAGUUGGUGAGGUAACGGCUCACCAAGGCGACGAUGCGUAGCCGACCUGAGAGGGUGAUCGGCCACACUGGGACUGAGACACGGCCCAGACUCCUACGGGAGGCAGCAGUAGGGAAUCUUCCGCAAUGGACGAAAGUCUGACGGAGCAACGCCGCGUGAGUGAUGAAGGUUUUCGGAUCGUAAAGCUCUGUUGUUAGGGAAGAACAAGUGCAAGAGUAACUGCUUGCACCUUGACGGUACCUAACCAGAAAGCCACGGCUAACUACGUGCCAGCAGCCGCGGUAAUACGUAGGUGGCAAGCGUUGUCCGGAAUUAUUGGGCGUAAAGGGCUCGCAGGCGGUUUCUUAAGUCUGAUGUGAAAGCCCCCGGCUCAACCGGGGAGGGUCAUUGGAAACUGGGAAACUUGAGUGCAGAAGAGGAGAGUGGAAUUCCACGUGUAGCGGUGAAAUGCGUAGAGAUGUGGAGGAACACCAGUGGCGAAGGCGACUCUCUGGUCUGUAACUGACGCUGAGGAGCGAAAGCGUGGGGAGCGAACAGGAUUAGAUACCCUGGUAGUCCACGCCGUAAACGAUGAGUGCUAAGUGUUAGGGGUUUCCGCCCCUUAGUGCUGCAGCUAACGCAUUAAGCACUCCGCCUGGGGGAGUACCGGUCGCAGACUGAAACUCAAUGAAUUUGACGGGGGGCC
rnacentral:rRNA from 1 species